rnacentral:rRNA from 1 species
CUACGUGCCAGCAGCCGCGGUAAUACGUAUGUCACGAGCGUUAUCCGGAUUUAUUGGGCGUAAAGCGCGUCUAGGUGGUUAUAUAAGUCUGAUGUGAAAAUGCAGGGCUCAACUCUGUAUUGCGUUGGAAACUGUAUAACUAGAGUACUGGAAAGGUAAGCGGAACUACAAGUGUAGAGGUGAAAUUCGUAGAUAUUUGUAGGAAUGCCGAUGGGGAAGCCAGCUUACUGGACAGAUACUGACGCUGAAGCGCGAAAGCGUGGGUAGCAAACAGGAUUAGAUACCCUGGUAGUCCACGCUGUAAACGAUGAUUACUAGGUGUUGGGGGUCGAACCUCAGCGCCCAAGCAAACGCGAUAAGUAAUCCGCCUGGGGAGUACGUACGCAAGUAUGAAACUCAAAGGAAUUGACGGGGACCCGCACAAGCGGUGGAGCAUGUGGUUUAAUUCGACGCAACGCGAGGAACCUUACCAGCGUUUGACAUC